CCCGAUGGCAUCUUCCACCGUAUUUCUCAACCAGACAUCAGAAAUCACAAACAGACGAACAGUCUAGAUUCAUGAUCCUCUCCGAUCGUAGAUAAAACCACAGACGUUUGACGGAAUCAGACUCACUGACCGUGGUCAUGUUUUUAUUAGUCAGGAGUGCGUCAUAGUUAGCUUUAAUUAGUUUAGUAUUAGCAGUUGCUACCGACAUUCUGUAGCUGUAACGUCGGAAAUCCCGUCUGAAAGCGAAGGCAGAUCAACAGACCCUUCUUGUUCGUCAGUUCUGAGAAUCGCGAUCCACGCUUUACUCUCUUGGUCCCAGGUUUGCUCCAGUGACAGCCCCACGGGAUCUACUCCACCCAGGGAGUCGCCCAUCACUGCAAAUCAAGCGCGAGGCUGACAGCUUGGCUCUGCUCCAAAAGCGUGUUUCCAGUUGGGAGCGAUCCAAAGAAAACCCGGAGAGCUCCGCCAAGUUCCUAACGAGCGAUCCAGGCAACUGGAGCCAACCAGUGAGGAGCCAGCCUCUUCCUCGCCGGCGCAGCAGGAGAGCUGGAGGCGCACUCGCUCGGGCCUCGUCUGCAGCCGGAGCCAAGUCGUCCGUUCAUUACCGGCAACAAGCGGCGUGAACGGCAUCAGCAGCAGAAGAAGAAGCCUCUCAUUGAUGGAAGUCUCUGGCAGCAUAUUUCAAGCUGACAUCAUUCAGCGUUUGACUGUAUCUGACAAACGGAGCUGCUCGCUGGGCAGUUGGACGUGUGUUAUACCCAGAGGAUGCGGGAGCUCCGUACGUUUUCACAGUCACUUCACAGUCCAGGCAGCAGCACAACGACGGACAGAGAAGAUCUCUCCUCCUCAGGAGGAGGACGGAGACACGCGAACGAUAAAGGUCAUCAGAAAAACACUCCCUACAAAUAUUAGGCGGAAUAAAUGCACAGAUUAAUUGGCAAAUUAAAUGACCUAACGCACAAUUUAUGUUCUACCAUCUACCAUCACAGUGUUGCAUCACAUCCUAGAAGUUUCUUUUAUAAGUGUCUAUGAAUAAAUCACUAAAUAACAUAAUAUCCAGUGUAGUCAGUGAAGAUGAUGCCAUUCCUAUAGAAGCAGCUGUUGCUGUAACAGCAGAAUUAAUAAUAGAUGCAGACGAUGCAGCGUAACCACGGGGUCACAUGUGAUGCGUGGACGCGCUGCAUCCAGCUGCUCCCUCCUUAAAACAGCCACGGAGCUGCAUGAAGCAGUGAUGAGCGUCUGGGUGUCACACACCUACAUGACUGCACCACAGCGCACGUUAUUGACACCAGCAGCUCCACAGUGGAGCCUAUAGCGCUGCUCUCAGAGUCACUGUUCAGCAUCGCUUUGAUGCACAUCAAAAAAAAAAAAAAAAACGGGACUUCCCUUUU